CCUGUCUCCCUCAGAUUCAUCGGGAUUAGAAGUGUUGCUUUCUGGGUCAGUGGUUAACAAAAUAUGGCCCUUAAGAGCACUGAAAUCUACAUCUAUGCAGCUGUGAUUAAACGUGAAUAAAUGGCAGUUUUCACAACUAAUGAACGCAAGACAUUGUGAAAACUGGCCCCGGAUCAUCCAUCAUUAUUGUUGAGUUUAAAGGCCAAUCACAAGCCUGCAAAAGUGGCAGAAACAGUUGGCGAUGAGGGUCGUUCUCAACCUCUGUGUUGCUGGAGACUUUCUUAACGUAAUUUAUAUUAAGUAAACAAACGAUCUCCAAGGAAUAAUCCUAGAAAUUAAGCUGCUUGUUUCAUAAUUGAUGAACUGCAACAUUGACACCAUUAUUGAAUCUGCAUUGAACUGGCGUGAGCUGAAUAAUGACACUGUUGUCUUCUUCAGAGUUGCUUUAAAACUGAAAUUGAAGUCAUUUCACAUAAUUUGCUUAAUAAAUU